GGGGGCGGGGUGAGCGAAAUUUCGCGCCAAGUUUUGGGGGAAUCCCGGUGUUGGUGUAGCCAGUUGUCUCGGAAGUGUUUACAGCCGCCGACAUGGUUCGUCCGCUAAACUGCAUCGUUGCUGUGUCUCAGAACAUGGGCAUCGGCAAGAACGGGGACCUGCCCUGGCCCCCGCUCAGGAACGAAUACAAGUAUUUCCAAAGAAUGACCACAACCUCUUCAGUAGAAGGCAAACAGAAUUUGGUGAUUAUGGGUAGGAAGACCUGGUUCUCCAUUCCGGAGAAGAAUCGACCUUUAAAGGACAGAAUUAAUAUAGUUCUCAGUAGAGAACUCAAGGAACCUCCACAGGGAGCUCAUUUUCUUGCCAAAAGUCUGGAUGAUGCCUUAAAACUUACUGAGCAGCCAGAAUUAAAAAAUAAAGUGGACAUGGUUUGGAUAGUGGGAGGCAGUUCAGUUUAUAAGGAAGCCAUGAACAAGCCAGGCCAUAUUAGACUUUUUGUGACAAGGAUCAUGAAAGAAUUUGAAAGUGACACAUUUUUCCCAGAAAUUGACUUGGAAAAAUAUAAACUUCUCUCAGAUUCCACCAGCAAUGUAUGAAGGUUCUGAAUUCUCCAUAUCCUUGCCACACUUGAUCUUCUCUGCCUUUUUGGUUAGAACCAUCCUAGUGGCAAAGAAAUCCAUUACCUAAUCCAAGUUCACAGGUAUUUAUUCCUCUGUUUUCUUCUAAGGGUUUUAUAGUCUUAACUCUGAAGUCUAUGAUCCAUUAGAAUUAAUUUAUAUACUGUGUAAGGAAGAAGUCCAAGUUCCUUCUUUUGUAACCAGCUCUCCAAUUGUCUUAGCAUUGUUUGUUGAAAAGCCUAUUCUUUUCCCCCAUUGAAUUGUCUUGGCACCCUUGUUGAAAAUCAGUUGGCCAUAAAUAUGAGGGUUUAUUUCUGGACAUUCAGUUCUAUUCCACUCAUCUACAUGUGUAUCUUUUUUUUUUUUCCAUCUUUUUAGGGCCGCACCUGUGGCAUAUGGAAAUUCCCAGGCUAAGGGCCAAAUCAGAGCUGUAGCUGCCUGCCUGUACCACAGCCACAGCAACUUGUGAUCCUAGCCACACUUUCAACCUACACGGCAGUUCAAGGCAACACUGGAUCCUUAACCUACUGAGCAAGGCCAGGGAUGGAACCCUCAUCCUCAUGGAUACUGGUCCGGUUCGUUACUGCUGAGCCAUGACGGGAACUCUGUACACGUGUAUCUUUAUGCCAGUACCAUACUGUCUUGAUUGCUCUUGUUGUGUAAUAACUGUUGUGAUCAGGAAGUACAAGUCCUCCAGCUUUGUCGUUUUGACCACUCACUGUUCCUUGCAUUUCCAUAUGAUUUUAUGAUCACCUUGUCACUUUCUGCCAAAAGGCAGGCUCAGAUUUUGAUAGAGAUUGUACUGCAUCUGUAUGGAGAGUAUGGCCAUCAGAGCAAGGUUAAGUCUGCUGAACCAUGAACAUUUGAUGUCUUUCACCUUAUUUAGGUCUUCCUGAAUUUAUUUUAGCAGUUUCUUAGCUUUCAGGAUACAAAUCUUGUACUUCAUUGUUAAAUUCGUCAGUAUUUUGUCCUUUCUGAUGCAAUUCUAAAUUGUUUUAUAUCCUACAACCUUGCCAAUAAACUCAUUUAUUCUAAUUGUUAAUGGAUCCCUUUGGAUUUUUCUAUAUAUCAUUUGCAAAUAGAGAUAGUUUCACUUCUUCCUUUCUAACCUGGAUGUUUUUUAUUUCUUUUUCUGGCUGAACUGUCCUGGCUAAAACCUCCAGUACAAUGCUGAAUAGAACUGGCAAGAGCAGACAUCCUCGUCUUAUUCUUAGCCUUAGAGGGACAGCAUCCAUGAAAUAUGAUGUUAGCUGUAGUGUUUUUGUACAUGCCCUCUAUCACAUCAAGGAAGAGCUCCUCUAUUUCUAAUUAGUUGAGUGUUUUUAUCUUGAAGGAGUCUUACAUCUUGUUAAAUAUGGUACAUUACAUGAUUUUUCUGUUAAACCAGUCUUGCCUUUUGGGCAUAAAUCUCCCUUGCUAGUAGUGUAUAAUCCUUUUUCUUUGUUGCUGAAUUAAGUUUGCUUAUAUUUUGUUGAGGAUUUUUACAUUAUGGUCAUAAGGUAUCAGUCUGUAGUGUUUUUCUGUAGUGUCUUCAUCUAGUUUUAGUAUCAGGAUGGUGCUAACCUCACAGAAUGAACUGGCAAGUAUUCUCUCCUCUUCUGUGUUUUGGCAGAGUUUAUAAAGGACUGGUAUUAAUGCUUUAAGUGUCCUGGAAAUUUUUCAUGGUGAGUAGACCGAGAUAGGAAGUUGCCGUGCCAAACAAAAAUGCAAGGAAAAUGCUCCAAGAUGGACAUUCUAAACAAGGCUAUGGAAGAAAACAGAAAGUCUCUUCUUCCACAGCAGCAUGUGAUGUUCAUCUGUCCUUCCAAGCUUGUACUGACAUACUGAGAGCCUCUGUAACAUGGGGUGGAGGGAGCCUCUUAAGGAAGAAAGGGAGACCUGAAGUAGAUCAGUCUUUCGUGAAAGAGAGAAAAAGGGAACUUCUGGGGCAAAGAAAAUAUACUUUGUCCCUGGAAGUCUGUAACAUUGUUCAGUUCCGGAGCUUUCUUUCCAAAUCUGUGUACAUUGAGCAACUUAGAAUUGCCUCCCUGCUGUCCAGAAAUGAACUUGAACCAUUGUUUGCUCUCCUUUGUUCUUUCCCCGCAGCUGCCCGCUUGGUUUAGACGCCCAUUAUCCCUAUCCCUGGGCUUCUUGUGGUUACGUAGGUUUCACUUCCAACACAUUAUCUUUUAUUAACACCACACUUCCUGGUAAUAAAAGCCCUAGUAUAAUGAAAUAAAGAUGAAAGAGGACUACUGUGAAGCAAGAAGAAACUAAAUUAAAAUGUAGAUGAAGCCACAAGUGGUAAGAGUCUAGAAAGAGAGUAUUAGCAAAGCAAGAUGGUUUUACUUUGAUUCUCCCUUUUUUACCAGUGGGUGAUUGUCUAUGCAAUUGUUUUUUUGACAGCACCAUGCCAGCCUGUCCUCUGAGGCUCUGCCCUCAUUCAUCCUGCCUGGAAGAACGCUUUCUAUCUCAGACUAUUUCAUACUAGGCUCCAACCAAACCCACCAGGCAAAAUAUUUUAUACCAAUAGUUUUCCCACUUAACGAGCCCCAAACAGGCUUCUCCUUCAAGUUAACAACCUUCCCUGUGACCAUGGAGUCAAAGAGGAUUAAAGACCAGACAAGGACUUUAAGGAAGUAGUUGACUCCAGAGCUGGGACAGAUGCUCCUCACCAGUGGAUGGCUGCAAACAGACCUUCCAUCUGAUCAUCUCGGCAUUGUUCUCAUGAUCCUUUGUCAGUUGGAAUCUUAUGUUUAUUCACAUUUAUUUGUGUCCAUGAUGCUUGAAGAUUCUAGAGGGGAGUCUCUACCUGGGUGGUUCAUACAAAUAUUCAGGAGUUCCUUCUGAUGUCCAGGAAGAGAAAGGCAUUAAGUACAAAUUUGAAGUAUAUGAAAAGAACAAUUAAUGUGAAAGUGUUUUCUGACCUAUUUCACACCCUCUCCCUCUCCCCAAAAUGUAUUUUUUUUUUGUUGUUGA